rnacentral:rRNA from 1 species
CACCGGCAGCUCAAGUGGUAGCCAUUUUUAUUGGGCCUAAAGCGUUCGUAGCCGGUUUGAUAAGUCUCUGGUGAAAUCCUAUGGCUUAACUGUGGGAAUUGCUGGAGAUACUAUUAGACUUGAGGUCGGGAGAGGUUAGCGGUACUCCCAGGGUAGGGGUGAAAUCCUGUAAUCCUGGGAGGACCACCUGUGGCGAAGGCGGCUAACUGGAACGAACCUGACGGUGAGGG